CACGUUCGCGUAUGGAAGACAGAACUGACGCCACGAUCUCGCCCACGACGCAGGGAAAUCCGAUGUCUGUGCCCACACUCCCCUUGCCGAACACCUGCGCACCCUCUCCUCUCCCCUCUAUUUCUCCAGCCACUAGUACCCGACGCCUCCAAAACCAGUGCGCGGUCCAUUCACAGCCGUUGUUCGUCGGACCCACGCCGUCACUGCUCGUCCACCAAGACCAGCGCCCUCUCGUUGCUCCUCACCUGGUAUGUCCGCAUCGUCGCUCCUACCUGCCGGCGCUGUCAAGCCUCCGCUGGUGCCACCGUGACCUGCCUUCUUCCUCGUCCCCGGCGGACUUUAUCAUCUCUGGU
rnacentral:lncRNA from 7 species